rnacentral:lncRNA from 1 species
GACAGGCAUGAGCCACCAUGCCCAGCCCUCUUAGCUAACUUCUAGAACUAGAAGAGGCUGUCCACAGGAAGUUCCACCAGCAGCUUUAGCUCAAGCUCCAGCAACACAUCAAAGGGCCACGUCAUGUUUCACUUACAAUGCAGGGUGUCAUCUUUGACCUACAUGUGACUGCACCAGUGUUAUUUCCCACUCUGGGCCCACAUAUCAGCAGCCCUGACACUGCCUGGGUUCCCAUCAUGUCACUGUCUGGCUGCAGUGGACCUCGUCCCUGGGUCAACUCUUGUCUUGUUUACCUGGCUAAUUGUCUUGGUGCUCUCCCUUCGGCCCUUUCACAGGUGAAUAUGCAGGGAACAGAGGGGAAGGUGUGAAUGAAUUAAAUCUGAGAAUUUUGUGCCUUUUGUCCAAGGAUUUCAGAGAUAGCCACUUUAUAGCCAAACAUUUGGAAGCCAUGAUUUCUGUCUUCCAAAAGCAAUCACCAUCUAAGCCAGUAAAUCUCAACUUCUGUAUAUUAGAGUCAACUGGAGAGCAUUUAAAAAUAAUUCUAAUGCCCAAGCUGCACCCUGAAACAAUUACAUCAGACUCUUUAUGGGAGCGACCCAGGCAUCUGUAUUUUUUUAAACUCCCCAGGCAAUUCCAAAGUGCAGCCAAGUUUGCGCAUCUCUGCUCUAAGUGUGGGCCAAGGAGCCUUCUCUAAUUGGCCUUCAUGUGCCAAGGACAGAGCACCAGCAAUUAAAAUAAGAAACAGGAGAGUUAAAUCGGUCUUGCUUUUCUCAUUCUCUUUCUUUCCCCAUUUUUAUAACAGACUGUAAUUCAACUGGCUCAAAGAGCUAUCUACAAUCUAUGGAGCAGAAAUAAUCCUGAAGGAAAGGAACGCCUCCAUCCCACAGCCUUCUCUUUUUCUUUUUUUAAAACAUUGACCAGUUUUUGUCCUUACCCUCAGAUUACAGAGCUUUCUUGAUUUGAAGUUCAUAUUUUCCUGGGAUCCUAAAAUGAGUGGUACAGAAAAAGCUGAGGCGCAUGCACCCUCAUUUAUCCUGAAUCCUGUCUAUCUUGUGAGCAUCCCCUAAAGGGAGCACGUGCCUGGGAAGAAGUUUCUGGGAAAUAAUAUUUAAAAUCCAAGCCACAGUUGUCUCUUCCUUACCUCUUGCCAUUCACAAAAGGGUUUUACGUAAAACAGAAAUUCAUUUGCUACCAGCCCAGCCCAGAAAAAAAACAGGCAUCAGGAGAAAACCUCACAGAAAGGGCUCUCAGAAGGCCACGGAAAUGGCAGCCCCACAGACAUAGACCCACGUGCAAUGGGGAAAAGGAUGAGCUUGGAGAGAACAUCAGGAAGGCACCCCCUUUAGCCUUCAGACCUCUCCAGUUCUGGGGACAGGUACUUAAAUUAGCAUUCUCAGGGAGAAAGGCAGGGAUGGAUGUAAAGAGGCACAGGAGUUGUAUGAGAGGGAAAACAUAGCACAUUAAAAAAAAAAAAAAAAAAAAAAAAGAAAGCCAGCAGGAAUAUGUCCUAAUUUGGAGAAACAGGCCACAUUGCCAUGGCAACUCUGAAUCUCCACAAGGCAGCCAGGCAUGCCUUUAAACAUCAUGUUAAAUAGUUCAACUAUGAAGAAGAAGAAAGAAAAGAGUGUAAGGGAGGUUUGAGAGAGGAGGAAGAGCCCUGAAGCCUGCUGAGGGCCAGAGGGAGAGGCUGCCCAAGGCCCAGCCAUUCUUCAAGAGAAAUUUCAUACAGCGAAGCUGCAAGUCCUGAACUGGAUCUUUUCUCUCUGAUCUGGGCAGGUUGGGGACUGCAUUUGUAUGUAGUUAACCUGUAUCUUCAGAAAGAUUCUCCCAAAGCCACACAGCUGCCAGCCCAGUACUCCUCAUCCUCUUUUCCAGGGCUGCCAGCCCCACAGCAAACCUGCCUGCCAUACUCAGGCCUUUCCCAGGAGACUUGACGGGCAUGUGAUCUUGUGCCGUUGGGGAAGUGAACCCAGCAGUCCUGAGGGCUGAGCACAGCAAUUAUUCGGCCACACCUGUAACCAUGCAUGGAACACUGGUUAGGAAUUCUGGCCUAAGGGGGAAGAAAAAACAUUUUAUUUAUUCAAAAAAUGUAAAAGCCACCUGGAAACCAUGCCUAAAUGAAGUUAUGCCAUGUGUGGUCCUUUGGGAUCAAGCCAGUGAUGCUGGCAAUUCAGGGAAGAGUUUUCUGCGUGGCUCUGAACCUUUGGAAAAUAGGAAUAAGAAUAUAAAACUGUUCUCCCAUCUGGAACAUUAAUUACUCAAAUUAUGCACUUAAUGUUCAGCAUUCAUUUCACCCUGCAACUAGUUCUCAAUCACAUUGCCUUCCACAUUACUUUGUCUCUUUUUUCUUUCAGAAGUCUCUCCCCUAGUCCUUCUGGCCUGUUUGCCUGCUCUGCCUUUCCCCUUUUCUCUUCUGUUGGGACCUGGAGAUCUUCUGACAGAGCCCUGUGAGCUGAGCAGCUCCAGCAGUUGGAUCUCCAUGAAUUACCAAGGGAUGUAAAGACUUAGAAGAGAGUUACAAGAGGAAAUGUAAAACCAUCCAUUUUUACCAAAAUUAAAUGUGCAAAAGGCUACAUA